rnacentral:tRNA from 1 species
UCUCUAGUGGUCCAGUGAUUAGGACUUGGCGCUUUCUCUGCUGUGGGCCUGGGUUCAAUCCCUAGUUGGGGAA